rnacentral:tRNA from 1 species
GGUGGCACAGUGGUUAAGCUUUUGACUGCUAACCAAAAGGUCAGCAGUUUGAAUCUGCUAGCCA